GGCGAUUGAGGUUGAAAAGACUGCAGGGGCAGGACUCGAAGGGGCGCUGAGAGGAUGGGUCAGGGGACCUGACCGCUGACCGCUGACCGGAGGCUGCGUGCCCAGGAAAGAGGAGGGUCUUGGAUAAUGAAUUUUCAGAUGACAAGGACUAUUUCUCCAUUUGCCUCCUUAUUCCUAGCCUGCCUUGGAGAGGAACAAGUGAGGCUGAAUAAUUUUUCAGGUGAAGACACUGGGCUCAGAGAAGAGAAGUCGUUUAUUUAAAGUAACAGUGUUGCAGCGGGGACAAGAACCUGGUUGCCUCAGUUCUCACCAAGCCCUUCUUACUCCACCACAGUGCCCUGUCUUCCUUCCUUAAGGACCGUGGCUGCCACCAGGACAAAUCUGGCUGGCCUGAGAUGGAGAAGUUCUGAGCUGAGAAGCCUGG